UACGUAGGAUGCAAGCGUUGUCCGGAUUUACUGGGCGUAAAGCGCGCGCAGGCGGCAGUACAAGUACCCUCUGAAAUCUCCUUGCUCAACGAGGAGGGUGGAGGGUAGACUGUGCAGCUAGAGGAGGGUAGAGGGGGGUAGAAUUGCUGGUGUAGCGGUGAAAUGCGCAGAUAUCAGGAAGAACACCCGUGGCGAAGGCGGCUCUCUGGUACGUGACUGACGCUGAGGCGCGAAAGCGUGGGGAGCGAACAGG
rnacentral:rRNA from 1 species